AUUGAACGCUGGCGGCAGGCCUAACACAUGCAAGUCGAGCGAGCGGCGGACGGGUGAGUAAUGUAUGGGGACUGCCCGAAAGAGGGGGAUAACUACUGGAAACGGUAUCUAAUACCGCAUACUAUCGGCUAACCCCUAUGGGAUUAGCUAGUAGGGGAGGUAAUGGCUCACCUAGGCGACGAUCCCUAGCUGGUCUGAGAGGAUGAUCAGCCACACUGGGACUGAGACAAGGCCCAGACUCCUACGGAGGCAGCAGUGGGGAAUAUUGCACAAUGGGCGCAAGCCUGAUGCAGCCAUGCCGCGUGUAUGAAGAAGGCCCUAGGGUUGUAAAGUACUUUCAGUCGGGAGGCGUUACCGACAGAAGAAGCACCGGCUAACUCCGUGCCAGCAGCCGCGGUAAUAC
rnacentral:rRNA from 1 species